rnacentral:lncRNA from 1 species
UGCAUCCUCGCCUCCACCGAAAGAUUGUGCGUCGUGUGAGGAUGGGAGGGAAAACCUGAACCCGUUCGACCAUGGGUGGGGAACGCGUCGCCACCAUCGCCUGGUGCUCGCGGGGCGUUUGGGGAAGCUUGCCAGCGUGCCCUGACCCUGUGUAGUGAGGUCGUUGGGCGUGUGGCCGUCUGGUGUGUGCGAAUCUUCACCACGUCGAUCCGCCAUCGUCGCCGAGACUGCCUGGCGUCACGUCCGUGCCCCCUUUCCGCCUUCUCUGUUGAUAAUUCCUGUUCCCUAGCUGCGUCACCUCCCUUGGUCGGUAGGAGUUCACCCCACGCCCGAAAUUUGACUUGCGGUCUCUGAAAUUGCUCGCCGGUGUGGUGAUUUCACCAUGAAAUCGCCCUCCCGUAGCCGGAACUCCAUACUGCGGAACGCGGCCGACGAAGCCAUCUGUGUAGUUCCCAAUCACUCACAUUUCAUUUUGUGCUAAUCGGGGCUGGGGUUUGUCAACGGGUGAUGGGGCGUGGGGGGGUUCCGGCGUGUUGCGCGACCGUGGAUGGGCGGCGCCGCCGUGUAGAGACGUCCGAGGACGAAGACGCGCUCGGGCCGUUAGAUUGGCAUUGGACGAUUACGAUUAGUCCUCCCAGGAAAUGAGUCUGGAUGGUUAGAUCGGGAUCGGGCGACCCAGAUUAAGUCCAGCGUACCUCUUCGUCCAACUGGAUCUUGGCCGUAGAUUUAUAAUCCGAUGCAUGUGAAUGAAUCCCGAUAAUAUAGAAUUCAAGCCAUUGAUCUUGAUCCUGCAGCUCAAAUUUAAUACCAGCCCAACCUCCCCUUGAUCUGUUCUGGACCGUACAGAUCUAAUCCAACAGCCCAUAUCCACCGAUACCCUUUCGCGGCACAUUUUUCUUAAAGAGACCCUGGGUUAUUGAUGAUUAAACCUGCAGUCCACCUUGUACAGCACUCUGAGUCUAAGUUUCUUUUACGCCCGAGUCCUUGUGUUUUCCAGAAAUUGGUGCCCAAUCCAGAGAGUAGUGGAAAUAGGAAAAUAAUCACAGAAAUUGAUUUUAAAUGUAUAAAUAAAUGUUAGAACUUGUUUAAUUUGUAGAAAAUUCAUAUGAACUCCAAAUUGAUCCAUUCCAGUUUCUAAAAUUUUGUAAUAUUAUUGUUUAUCACCUAGUGCCUCUGUUUUGACAUGAAAGACACAUUAAAAUUUAUCUUUUACUUAAGCUUGUAUUAAAUACAUAAAACCUUGGGAAAUUCAGAACUUAAAAUCUAUAACUCCAAAUUUAAUGAUUCCAGCUCCUAUGAUCUUAUUUUAAUGUGUAGAUAAUUGUUAUGCAUUUUGUUUACAUGCUUGGUGUGAUGUUAAUUUUUGUUAUACUAUGUAUGUUUGUAUUGAUGCGAGUAGACAAGCAAGCUACUGAGGAUCCUGGUGCCCAGUAGAUAGAAGUUGCUGAGCAGGAGCUCAUUGAAGGCAAGUUGUGCCCUUGAUCACUUUCUUUUUACCCAGUCAUGUUCUUAUUAAUCAUAAUGAUCUGCAUAGGUAAAUUUUGAUGGGAUCCAAUACGUUACCCUAGUUUUGGCUAUCUUUAUACCUUGUUUUAUCACUGAAUAUUUUUGGGUAGUAUAUGCUAUUGCUUUAUGUGGUUUUGGGUAUGGAGAUAUACAUCACUCAUUGUUACACUUUUGUUAUCAGUUAUUAUUUACUAUUCAUGAUAAGAUCAUUAUGUUAAUGGGAACAUGGAGAACCACCCGGGAAAACAGUGCUACCACAAGGGUGGUAUGGGACACCCUUGGCUGAUUAACUAGGAAAGCUAGUGGAUGACUACCUUACCCGAAAGGGGCAAGGGCAGUAGGGGAGUGGUCAGUGUAGGGAGGUCCUUGGGUUGAUUUUGCUGCGAUGGUGGUCAGGCGAGGGAUUUCUACAUUGGAGCUUCCUAGAACUGUAGCGGGUUUUCUGAAGCUAGUGGAUCUUUAUAAAGGUCUCGUAGUGGUACCCUGCCUCGCUUCCUUGGUAGAGGUGUAUGGGGUCCGAUCAACCCCAUGGCAAAUGGGUAACACGACUUUGUGGGUAAAGAUGCGCAACUUCUGCAGAGUGUAAAACUGGUAUACUAGCCGUGCUCACGGUCAUGAGCGGCUUGGACACUCACAUGAUUAAUUUAUGGAAUUAAACUCAAUUUGUCAUUUUAUUGCAUUGGGAUUAUUUUAUUAUUACUUUUACUUAUUAUUACUAUGGUUUGGUAUUUACUUACACUAACUGCUAAUAAAAUUUUGACCAACAUAUAAAAGCAAUGCUCGACUUCAGCCUUUAUUACAUUGAUUUGCCUUACACUUCACAUGAACUCUCACCUUUGAUGAGUUCAUGCACAUUAUUCCCCACAACUUGUUGAGCGAUAAACAUGUGUGAACUCACCCUUGCUGUCUCACACCCCCCACAGGAGAAGAACAGGUGGUCGAAGAGGAGCCGCCUAACACUGAGGCUUUCGACUUGAUCUAGGUGGCGUCUCCUAGUGAGCUUUGUGGCGCCAGUGAAUAAUAUUUAGUUCGCUUUAUUUUAUCAUUUAUUUUUGUAAGACUUCCACUAUGUAAUAAGUACAUUUAUGAUAUUUAUGACAUUUAUCUCUAUGCACUCUAUUAUUAUAUGUGUUGUCUUCUUUGGCGCAUAUAUGAGAUGCACCCGGCUUUGUUCCUUAAAUCCGGGUGUGACAAAAGAUCAACUUGAAUACCACGGUUCUCUUUAUCUCAAUAAUAUCCCAUUGUGAGGAAUCUCCACAAUUUGGAGUCUCUCACGCCUUACACAAAUGACCUCAAAUGAACACAAGAGUAAGGGGAAUAGAAACACACACAAGAACGAGAGUUGCAGUAACAACAUGCACAUAAGACAAGAGAGAGCACACGAAGCAGCACAGUGGAGUUACAGCUUAAAGAAGUGCUCAAAUCUCUAUCACAAUGAAACAAUUGCGUGUUUGUGCAUUCUCAGUGUUGUAGAAUGUUCAAUGGGUGCU